GGUAACGGGGAAUUAGGGUUCGAUUCCGGAGAGGGAGCCUGAGAAACGGCUACCACAUCUAAGGAAGGCAGCAGGCGCGCAAAUUACCCAAUGAAAACAGUUUCGAGGUAGUGACGAGAAAUAACAAUACGGGGCAUUAAAUGCUUUGUAAUUGGAAUGAUGGGGAUGUAAAACCCCCUCAGAGUAGCGAUUGGAGGGCAAGUCUGGUGCCAGCAGCCGCGGUAAUUCCAGCUCCAAUAGUGUAUAUUAGAGUUGUUGCAGUUAAAAAGCUCGUAGUUGGAUUUCUGCUGUGAUCAUCUGAGACCACCCUUAGGGGCGGUGCGAGGAUUGAUUGUGGCAUAUUUCUAGUAGCCUGUAGCGAUGCUUAAUUGCGUGGCUGGGGGUGUUCUAGAACUUUUACUUUGAGAAAAAUAGAGUGUUUCAAGCAGGCUUGUGGCCUUGAAUACUGCAGCAUGGAAUAAUAAGAUAGGACCUUGGUUCUAUUUUGUUGGCUUCUGGGACCGAGGUAAUGAUUAAUAGGGACAGUUGGGGGCAUUCGUAUUUAACUGUCAGAGGUGAAAUUCUUAGAUUUG
rnacentral:rRNA from 1 species